rnacentral:rRNA from 1 species
UACGUAGGGACCAAGCGUUGUUCGGAUUUACUGGGCGUAAAGGGCGCGUAGGCGGCGUGGUAAGUCAGCUGUGAAAUCUCCGAGCUUAACUCGGAACGGUCAGCUGAUACUGCUGUGCUAGAGUACAGAAAGGGCAAUCGGAAUUCUUGGUGUAGCGGUGAAAUGCGUAGAUAUCAAGAGGAACACCUGAGGCGAAGGCGGGUUGCUAGGCUGAUACUGACGCUGAGGCGCGAAAGCUAGGGUAGCAAACGGGAUUAGAUACCCCGGUAGUCCUAGCCCUAAACGAUGAAUGCUUGGUGUCUGGAGUUUUAAGUCUCCGGGUGCCGUCGCUAACGCUUUUAGCAUUACGCCUGGGGAGUACGCACGCAAGUGUGAA